GAGGGUAUAGCUCAGUGGUAGAGUGUGUGCUUAGCAUGCACGAGAUCCUUGGUUUAAUACACAGUACUUCUG
rnacentral:tRNA from 1 species